UCCUCCUACCUCUUGCAGCGCAGGUUGUUUCACCUUCAAUAUGGAGAUCUGAACCUUUUAAUUUCCAUUUUUUUUUUCUUUUGUUUGGUUGAUCUCGUUUUUUAUUUUCAUUUUUCAUUUUUUACUGGAUUCACGAUUCUAUUGAGGUCUUUGAUCAUUUUUGUGUUUGGAUAAUGUAGGAUUGAAUAUUUGCGGGUUUUAAUGCUGCUCGUGGCACGAAAUAAGGAAAUAGAAAGUAGCUUUGCAUGUUAAUUAAGUGCGAGUGUUUCAUGUUUGAUUUUGUAGGAUAGUUGUAGCCUUAUUUAAGUGUUGUGAUUCACGCAUGAGUAGAAACAAAUGGAGCUUUAGCUGGAGUUGUUUGAUCUGUAAUUCAAAUAAUAGGGCUCUGAAAAUUUUUUUGAAGGGUGAAAUUUUUAUUUAAAUAGUUGAAUUAUUAAGGGGCGCAUUUGAAAUCUAUUGGAAACGUACUAUAUAUUUUUGAGCAUAUUAUUUGUGGACUGAGCCUUGAUGGAAAUUCACUAUACUUAAUAUGCAUGAUUGAGGUUCUGUGACUGAGGGCUGUCACUAAGAUGAUAAGUAGGACGCUAUGCUAAUGAUCUAAGAUUGAACUAUUUAAUAAAGCAUUUUGUUAUAUGAUAUGCAACUGACUGACUACAGUGCAAACUGCAUUUUUUGUUUGAAAGGAAAUUGACUAUGUUGCGUGACUCUUUAUGGGAGUGAAAUCUUGUGCUUUUUUUACAGUUUAAUUUGGAUACUCUUUUUCCUUCUAGGUUUUCUAGUUUCAAGUGUGGUUAUUAAUAGUGUAUGUAAACAACCAUUAUCUACAUCCUUUUCUUUAUUCUUUCUUUCAUGCAUGUUACUAGGCAUUUGCCCGCGCGUUGUUUGAUCUCUUGAAUUUUUCAAAUUGUUAUAUAAAAUUGUUAUGUGUCAUUCUACAAUACAAACCCCUAAUAUUUGAGGGGGGGAAAAAGCAUAAUGGUUUCAGAGAAUGUACAAGCAUAAUGGUCAAGAUCCAUUAUCUUACUUGCACAUCUCUUUCAAAAUUAAAAUUCAUUUACACCACAUAUGUUUUGGUGUAUUCUUGUUUGCAGAUAUUUGUAUAUUUGCAUCUAUUUGUUAAUUGGAUUUUUUAUUUAUUUUACUUUUUAGAUAAAAAAAUGAUAUUUACUGGUUGAGAUGUAUUUAUGUUUAUAGCAGUUUUUCUGUUUUCCAGUUAGCCUCAUUUUUAGGGAAACUCUAUUAGUUUCUAGGUCACACUUAUCCUUAUAAAGCAGGGAUAGGGUGUGACAGUGCCAAUAUUCUUGUACUAGCAUUUUUCUGAACUAUAUCAAAUACUGCUUCACCAUUUGUAGAGAAAUUUCUAGAACUUAUUGCAUAUAUAGUUUUUCACUACUAACUCAUCAAGUUGAAAUCAAAGAAGUGACAGUUUAAAAAAAACAAAUGAUCGAGUUUGGUAUAUAUAAAAUGUACCAUCUUAUAGGUAUUGCCAAAAACUUAAUACCAAUUGUAUUACCUCACUUUAACCCUUCAUUUGUCAAAAGCACAUUUUUCUUUUAUAAAUAACAAAGGUAGUAAAGACAAUAAAAGAAAAAUUCAUGUUUAAUUUGAGUAGCUGGAACUUUACAUUGUUCUUUUUGCUGUAAACCAUCCCAUACAUAAUCAUCAUUUUGUGCAAUCAUCAACACAAGCCAUGAUGGCUUUGUAUAAAGUUUCAAGCACUUACCUGUGCAAGUAAUAAUAGAAGAAAUUGGCAGAGUAAUGUUUAAACAAUUCCUGAUAUUCAAGCUGCAAGAGAAAAAGAUUUAUGAAAAUGAAUGCAUGUUCCUGCAAAUGCAUGUACCUGCAAAUGCAUGUACCGGCAAAUGCAUGUACCUGCAAAUGCAUGUAC
rnacentral:misc_RNA from 1 species